rnacentral:lncRNA from 1 species
GUUAUAACAUAAACAGCCCACACGGGAGAUUAAUUCCUAAUGCUUGCUUUGUCAGUGUUUGGGAAAUUCCUGGUUCGAUAGCACAUGUAACACAGACAGAGUUAUUAUAUUUCAUUUGCAGUCUGGCCUGUAGUCACAUGGAUCUAAGUGACCAAGUUAUUUGAAGUGGUGCACUCAUAUUAACUAUGCCUAUACUGCCUGCAAAGGAUGACCCCACUACUGAUCCAGGGGAUUUAUCCACUACAGGGUGAGCGACCAGACAUGGCUUGAGGUACAACCAGAGCACCAUUGCCAGCAUCUACAGGACCAUGUAUUCCUAAAAUACUCUUUUAGGACAAACUAAAAUUCUCUACUGGAUCCAAGGCUGGCUUUUCUGUGGUCCUUCCUGCAGUGUUUUAGGCUACUUGAAAUAGACAUUUCCACGUAGACUUUUCUCUCCUUGCAUGAUAUUGUGUGUCAUAGUGCAACAGAACUUUGAAAAGAUCUCAGGGACCCAUGAAUGGAUAUCAGAAGUUUAAAGCUGUGCUGUCAGUAGGCACACACACCGUGGUUUCAAGACAGAGAGAUAUGCCAAGGGGGAUUUCCUGAUAUAAACAUAUCCUACUACCCACUGGGUCCACCCUUUUCAUCAAGGUCAGUCAAGUCAAUCAAGGGAGAAGAACGGAAAAACUGCAUAGCGAUUAGCAGAAGACGGUAUUAAGUGAUUGAUGGCAGAACUCCCAAAGGAUGCAUCAGGAGGAAACAGAUAAUGAUACGUUACUGCACGUUUGUUGAUUAUUUACUUGUACCACAUAUAAGACAACUAUAUAAAGGGUGAAUGAUUUCAUUACUCUUUGUAAUUAGAAUUUUACAGUUGUUCCUAGCUUGAUUUCUUCAUAGAACAUUCAUAAGGACAUUUUGGCAAAUUCAACCUACAGGGACAGAAAUUGAGCCUUAAUUUCAGCUUUAAUAGGGAUCAAUGAAAG